rfam:Peniophora sp. CONT PENSPscaffold_159_Cont241, whole genome shotgun sequence.
UUACCACUCUGGCCUUUUGGCUUAGAUCAAGUGUAGUAUCUGUUCUUAAUAGUUUAACCACUAUUAUGGAGGCACCGCCUCCAUUAUUGGUUAUCUAAUUUUUGCCGCCCUUG